rnacentral:rRNA from 1 species
GACGAACCGUGCGAACGUUGUUCGGAAUUACUGGGCGUAAAGGGCUCGUAGGCGGCCAACUAAGUCGGAUGUGAAAUCCCCAGGCUCAACCUGGGAACUGCAUCCGAUACUGGAUGGCUUGAAUCCGGGAGAGGGAUGCAGAAUUCCAGGUGUAGCGGUGAAAUGCGUAGAUAUCUGGAGGAAUACCGGUGGCGAAGGCGGCAUCCUGGACCGGCAUUGACGCUGAGGAGCGAAAGCUAGGGGAGCAAACGGGGAU